rnacentral:rRNA from 1 species
CCCCUGUGAGGGGAGUGAAAUAGAACCUGAAACCGUAUACGUACAAGCAGUGGAAGCGGUACUUGAGACCGUGACUGCGUACCUUUUGUAUAAUGGGUCAGCGACUUACAUUUAGUAGCGAGGUUAAGCGAAUAGCGGAGCCGUAGGGAAACCGAGUGUUAACUGCGCGUUUAGUUGCUAGGUGUAGACCCGAAACCCGGUGAUCUAGCCAUGGGCAGGUUGAAGGUUGAGUAACAUCAACUGGAGGACCGAACCGACUAAUGUUGAAAAAUUAGCGGAUGACUUGUGGCUGGGGGUGAAAGGCCAAUCAAACCGGGAGAUAUCUGGUUCUCCUCGAAAGCUAUUUAGGUAGCGCCUCGGACGAACACCUUUGGGGGUAGAGCACUGUUAAGGCUAGGGGGUCAUCCCGACUUACCAACCCUUUGCAAACUCCGAAUACCAAAGAGUGCUAUCCGGGAGACAGACGGCGGGUGCUAACGUCCGUCGUCAAAAGGGAAACAACCCAGACCGUCAGCUAAGGUCCCAAAGUAAUUGCUAAGUGGGAAACGAUGUGGGAAGGCUUAGACAGCUAGGAUGUUGGCUUAGAAGCAGCCAUCAUUUAANAACAACCCAGACCGUCAGCUAAGGUCCCAAAGUAAUUGCUAAGUGGGAAACGAUGUGGGAAGGCUUAGACAGCUAGGAUGUUGGCUUAGAAGCAGCCAUCAUUUAAAGAAAGCGUAAUAGCUCACUAGUCGAGUCGGCCUGCGCGGAAGAUGUAACGGGGCUAAGCAAUUCACCGAAGCUACGGGUAUCAGCGCAUCACCUGAUGCGAUUUGCUGGCGUGAUUCACUUUGUGAAUGACGCCCAAGCACCCAACACGUUGAGUCGAAAGAUGAAACAGGGUGUUUAAGUCGUAUGAGGGAUGCGCUGANUGGCUUAGAAGCAGCCAUCAUUUAAAGAAAGCGUAAUAGCUCACUAGUCGAGUCGGCCUGCGCGGAAGAUGUAACGGGGCUAAGCAAUUCACCGAAGCUACGGGUACUGAUGCUUGCAUCAGUGCGGUAGAGGAGCGUUCUGUAAGCCGUUGAAGGCGAAGGGGUAACCCACGCUGGAGGUAUCAGAAGUGCGAAUGCUGACAUGAGUAACGAUAAAGGGGGUGAAAAACCCCCUCGCCGAAAGACCAAGGGUUCCUGUCCAACGUUAAUCGGGGCAGGGUGAGUCGACCCCUAAGGCGAGGCUGAAAGGCGUAGUCGAUGGGAAACGGGUUAAUAUUCCCGUACUUCUGCUAACUGCGAUGGAGAGACGGAGAAGGCUAGGCCAGCGCGGCGUUGGUUGUCCGCGUUUAAGGUAGUACGUGGUGUGCUUAGGCAAAUCCGGGCACACAUACACUGAGAACUGAUGACGAGUCCCCAAGGGGAUGAAGUGGUUGAUGCCAUGCUUCCAGGAAAAUCUUCUAAGCUUCAGGUUAGUAGAAAUCGUACCCCAAACCGACACAGGUGGUCGGGUAGAGAAUACCAAGGCGCUUGAGAGAACUCGGCUGAAGGAACUAGGCAAAAUGGUACCGUAACUUCGGGAGAAGGUACGCUGCCGGCGGUGAAGACCUCGCGUCGUAAGCUGCUGGCAGUCGCAGAUACCAGGUGGCUGCAACUGUUUAUCAAAAACACAGCACUGUGCAAAAUCGCAAGAUGACGUAUACGGUGUGACGCCUGCCCGGUGCCGGAAGGUUAAUUGAUUGGGUUAUCUUCGGAGAAGCUCAUGAUCGAAGCCCCGGUAAACGGCGGCCGUAACUAUAACGGUCCUAAGGUAGCGAAAUUCCUUGUCGGGUAAGUUCCGACCUGCACGAAUGGCGUAAUGAUGGCCACGCUGUCUCCAGCCGAGACUCAGUGAAGUUGAAAUUGCGGUGAAGAUGCCGUAUACCCGCGGCUAGACGGAAAGACCCCGUGAACCUUUACUAUAGCUUGGCACUGAACAUUGACCCUACAUGUGUAGGAUAGGUGGGAGACUUUGAAGCGAGAACGCCAGUUCUUGUGGAGUCAACCUUGAAAUACCACCCUUGUAGUGUUGAUGUUCUAACCUUGGUCCCUUAUCGGGAUUAGGGACAGUGCCUGGUGGGUAGUUUGACUGGGGCGGUCUCCUCCCAAAGAGUAACGGAGGAGCACGAAGGUUGGCUAAGUACGGUCGGACAUCGUACGGUUAGUGCAAUGGCAUAAGCCAGCUUAACUGCGAGACAGACACGUCGAGCAGAUGCGAAAGCAGGUCAUAGUGAUCCGGUGGUUCUGAAUGGAAGGGCCAUCGCUCAACGGAUAAAAGGUACUCCGGGGAUAACAGGCUGAUACCGCCCAAGAGUUCAUAUCGACGGCGGUGUUUGGCACCUCGAUGUCGGCUCAUCACAUCCUGGGGCUGAAGUCGGUCCCAAGGGUAUGGCUGUUCGCCAUUUAAAGUGGUACGCGAGCUGGGUUCAGAACGUCGUGAGACAGUUCGGUCCCUAUCUGCCGUGGGCGUUGGAUGAUUGAGGGGAGCUGCUCCUAGUACGAGAGGACCGGAGUGGACGAACCGCUGGUGUUCGGGUUGUCAUGCCAAUGGCAUUGCCCGGUAGCUACGUUCGGAAUCGAUAACCGCUGAAAGCAUCUAAGCGGGAAGCGAGCCCCAAGAUGAGUCAUCCCUAGGUCCUAGAGACCUCUGAAGAGCCGUUCGAGACCAGGACGUUGA